AAUAUUGUACAUUGGGCGAAAGCCUGAUCCAGCGAUUCCGCGUGUGUGAAGAAGGNCUNNGGAUUNUNAAGCACUUUAAGUUGNNNNNAAGGGCAGUAAGUUAAUACCUUGUUCUUGUGACGUUACCGACAGAAUAAGCACCGGCUAACUUCGUGCCAGCAGCCGCGGUAAUACGAAGGGUGCAUGCGUUAAUCGGAAUUACUGGGCGUAAAGCGCGCGUAAUGGGUUUGUUAAGUUGGAAGUGAAAGCCCCGGGCUCAACCUGGGAACUGCAUUCAAAACUGGCAAGCUAGAGUAUGGCAGAGGGUGGUGGAAUUUCCUGUGUAGCGGUGAAAUGCGUAGAUAUAGGAAGGAACACCAGUGGCGAAGGCGACUACCUGGACUGAUACUGACACUGAGGUGCAAAAGCGUGGGGAGCAAAC
rnacentral:rRNA from 1 species